rnacentral:rRNA from 1 species
GAUGAACGCUGGCGGCGUGCCUAAUACAUGCAAGUCGAGCGAACAGACGAGGAGCUUGCUCCUCUGACGUUAGCGGCGGACGGGUGAGUAACACGUGGAUAACCUACCUAUAAGACUGGGAUAACUUCGGGAAACCGGAGCUAAUACCGGAUAAUAUAUUGAACCGCAUGGUUCAAUAGUGAAAGACGGUUUUGCUGUCACUUAUAGAUGGAUCCGCGCCGCAUUAGCUAGUUGGUAAGGUAACGGCUUACCAAGGCAACGAUGCGUAGCCGACCUGAGAGGGUGAGCGGCCACACUGGACCUGAGACACGGUCCAGACUCCUACGGGAGGCAGCAGUAGGGAAUCUUCCGCAAUGGGCGAAAGCCUGACGGAGCAACGCCGCGUGAGUGAUGAAGGUCUUCGGAUCGUAAAACUCUGUUAUUAGGGAAGAACAAAUGUGUAAGUAACUAUGCACGUCUUGACGGUACCUAAUCAGAAAGCCACGGCUAACUACGUG